CGAGCAGUAGAACAUUUUGGAGAAUCAUAAAGCAUCGAUCGACUGAGGAAUUUCAGAGCCUCCCCUAUAUCUGCACUUUGUUAAAUUCAUCUCUGUGGACUUAUUACGGAAUCACAAGACCUGGAAGCUAUCUUGUCGCCACUGUAAAUGGCUUUGGCAUUUUAGUUGAAGCUGUUUAUGUAACCUUAUUUUUCAUAUAUGCUCCAACAAAAGCAAUGAGGGUAACUUUUUCUUUUCUUUUUUCUUUUCUAAUAUACACUCACUACUUGUUAAUUGUUUCAUUUAUUCUGCUGUACGGCCAAGGCGGAUGUACGGUACAGCAGCUUUUUUUUUUAUAAUUUAACAUUAAUAUGUAUAUUACAAUUAAAAAAUAGAUAUAUAUUUAAUAAUGAAAAUUUUAUUAGAGACUACUUUAGAUUAAGAUUAUGUUUGAUUGAGAGGUAUCAUAACUUUUAAGGUAUUGUAAAAAAAAAAGUUAGAACUAUAAAAUAAAUAAAAAGGGUUUAAAGUAUUGCAAGAGCAUGUUAUGGGGACAAAGAGAGGCUGGUUUUGGAUGAGAGGAGAUGAUGGGGAGGAUAUAUUGCUGGGUUCUGAUAUCAUGCGGCGGCUCACUGAGAAAAGAUCAGCUAUGGAAGCCAGGUCAAGGAAGUCAGGAGCCGAGGCUCGGUAGAAAGCAUAGGUUCGGCAUGGAUAGGUGGUCUGGUUGGCCGAGCAGGUGUAGCCUGUGGUGCUUGGUUGGGCUUGUGAUUGAUGACAGCUGAAGAGAAAGAAGAAGAAGAAGAACAGAAAAGAGAAGGAAAGGCACUGGGAUUUGUUUCUCAUGUUGGUUUUAGCCUUCUACUUUCAGGGCAGAUCUGUACAAUAUUUAAGAACGGAAAAUGAAAUUGAACGCUGUCUCUAGUCAAUGUCGUAGGCAAGACACCUCUGUGUUUCAAUCUUGACUUCUCUAAUUCAAGAAGUAACUUCAGUUUCAACUGUUUUGAGUCAACUUGAUUGAAGAACGCACAAAGCCACGCCAGCUCCUGGUUUUAUAAUUUCUUAUUGACAUUUUGAUAUUCACCACUAGCAAGUUUCAUUAUUAUGAUUUUGUUGGAUAAUUGGAUAUGAUCCUUUUCUAAUACUGUCACCCAUAAGUAACUUCAGUUUCAUACAUAAGCACAUCGAUAAGUAUCAAGCAAACAUAUAACAUAAACAGACUAUACGGAGGUGAGCUUAAAGAUGAUAUGAGCCUGGUGAAAUUCCUGCUAUCUAUGGAAUUUAUAACGACUUUUCUAACACUCGUGUUGAUUACAGAGGCAAGCAAGAAGGGAAGGCACUUUUGAAUUGUGAGUUGUCGUGUGGGAAAUGACGCCGAAAAGAUACAGAUAUUUUUUUCACAACAAAGAGAGUUCAAACUUCAUUAACUACACCGACGGGCCUUCGGUCUAAUAGGCGAAGUCUUACACUUAUAAUAUUGAGUGUAAGGUUUCGAGCCUCUAAGAGUAUUAUGGGGGUUAGUUUCAGUUCUUCUUCAAUUAUCAACUAAUUGAGUGGAGACAAUUUCUUUUUUACAAAAUGUGAGUGGAGUAGGCACCCUUCGAAUAUUAGAGAGAGUUUAAAGUAUAUGUGUAAGUGCUUCAGUGGGUUAAUGUUUAACAAUUUAUGUAUAACAGAAUUAAAAAAAAAAACUUCAUUAACUACCUCACAUCAUACAGCACUCACAUUAAAGAACCAAACUUGGUUAAUGAACGGUUCUGUAUGAAAUUAAAUUUUGUAUUACAUGGUCAAGGGGUCAUAAUUUAUGCAAACAAGAAUUAAGAAUAUCAAACAAUGAUGUCACUAUGCAGUGACUUUUUUUUUUCUCUUUUUUAAAAGGUAAGGGGGGUGGGUAAGUCAAAAGGGAAAAACUAUUUAUCCUGAAUUUUGAUCCCGAAUUUGUGCUUCGAAAGUUAAAUCGUACCGGUUGAUUUGGUUUCAUUUGCUUUCCACUUUCCCUUACCAAACCAAACGGUGUGUUUUGGCUUUCGGGGCACAAAUUCGGAGCCAAAAUUCAGGUAAAUAGCAGCACUCAAGUCGAAAUACUCUUAGACUGUGAAGAGUACAUGCCGUGAUGUCCCUUUCGCUUGAUCUUUCCUUUUUCCAUUAUUGUUGCCAAAAUGGCAAAGUAAUUUGUUUGAAUGAGUGUAAAGAGAGAUUUGAGAUUUCACCGUAUUGUAAUCAAAUAAUUCCAUCAAAAAGGAAUUUGGUUAUGUUCACUACAUGCUCUACAGUUUCUGUCGCACAGUACAAGUUCAUAAAUAUAACGAAUUUUUUUUAGUAAAUUUAAAAUAAAAAAAUGUGACAAAUAAUAAAAGAAAUUUAUAUCCAUUGUAAGGUAUUAUUUGUGAAACUGAUAAAAAGGAGUAAGAAUUAAGUCAUUAUGUGAAAAAUUGAAGAUGUUAGAUAAAAUUAAUAAUAAAGAACGGUAUAUCGCCACUUUGCCACCCAUGAGUUUCAUAAGUCCUUCAAAAAUAGAUCGACUCCUGGCUCUUGAUAUAUAUAUAUAUAUAUUAAAAAAACAAAAAGGAAGACGGGAUGAGUUUAAAGAAUUUGCAAGUUGUUAAAUAAUAAUGUGUCGUGUGCAUCACGUGGUUGAGGAGAGGACAAUCGAGAGGCCUGAGGGAGGGACCCCAACUUUCGAUGUGCCCUCCCCAAAAAAACCAAUUAUAUUACUUUGUUGUCAUGAUUUCUUGAGUUUUAAUUUACUUUUACUACUUUUUUUUUUAUAAUUUAACAUUAAUAUGUAUAUUACAAUUAAAAAAUAGAUAUAUAUUUAAUAAUGAAAAUUUUAUUAGAGACUACUUUAGAUUAAGAUUAUGUUUGAUUGAGAGGUAUCAUAACUUUUAAGGUAUUGUAAAAAAAAAAGUUAGAACUAUAAAAUAAAUAAAAAAUGUAUAGUAUAUAUGACUUUUAAAUAAUAAUUUUGAUAAAAAUAAUAAUAAUGUUAUAAGUUUUUCAUUAUGAAAAAGUAAGAUAUCCACUUAGCUUCUAAGUUAUAAUUGCAAAUGUUUACUAAAACAAUGAAAUACUUUUGUGCUGUAACUUUUAAGCGAUAUACAGUUGUCCGUCCACAAAACCAAACAAGAUCUAAAGUUUGGUAUGACACAAUCUAUAUUUCUACUCUUCUGGUUAGUGUGAAGAUAUAGUUUCCUCUACUCAAUUAUAUAAUGAAGAACAAAAUGUGUGAGUCCCAGUCCCAACAUAUGCUGCCUUUGAAUUUUAACUUCUUUUUAUUUUUUGCUAUUUAAUUUACUUGAAUCUACGUGUGAUGUUGUAAAGAUGAGGAUGAUUCAUUUAAAUUGAAAGGGGAUUUUAGUUACAAUGACCAUGCAGUUGUUGGAGAUGUGAUUGUAUCAUUUGUAAGUUGCUACAAUCAAAUUAUAUGUAUGGGUAGACGCACAACACCAACUUCAGCUAGAACUUUGAAAAUGGGGUUUCACAAGUUUUAUUUCUCUAUUUGUAAAUGUGUUUAGGUUAAAAAAUUCCGAGUUCGAACAUUGCACUUUAUAAAAUACUGAUUUAAGUAAUUAAAUGAUGUGUUUGGUUAUUACAAUUAACAUUGUGGUGCUACAAAUAUAUACUAUUAAUUGGAUUGUUUUAAACAGUAUUAUAUUGCUCAAAUCAGUGCUUUUUGAAGUGGAUAAAGACUCAAAAUUAAGUAAAAUUUAUAAAUUUAAUGAGAAAAUUAAUCAUUUGUUAAUAAUUCAGUAGUACACUCUCGCCUGUAAAAUUAUGUGAUAUUUUUCUAUGCUUUCAAACUUCAAUGGGAAGAUAGAGACUAGAGGUAAGAAGAAUUGUAUCAGCAAACUGUCAAGAAAUAUCAUUGAUACGGAUUCUUCAUAUAAAAAAAAAAAAAAAGAAAUUGUUUAUUGAGCACAUGCCAAAUUCCAAAAGCUUUUCUGGCAGCAUAAUGGCCUCCACUACUUUUUUGCCGAGUAAAAUUAAAUUAAAAUCUCUCAAGCACAGGCGAAAGCAAAAUGGAAUAAAGGCCCAACAUAAAAUAUCAGUUAUAUUCACUUGGCAUUUUAUUAAAAUUAAUUAUCGAGGGCUAUAUACAACCACUCAAAAGUCAAAAGAAAACUUGUUAUUCUCUCUCUCUCUCUCUCUCUCUGCUUAAUUUUCAUCAAGCUUUCUUGAUAUACAAAUUAAUCUAAAGACCAUUUUUUCUUUUCUCUUCUUCUAACCAUGAAGGAUUUGAGUUUUUAUGUUGGAGUAAUAGGUGAGUGUGUGUGUGUGUGUAUUUCUAUCUUUAUAUAUGCAAUUUUUAGCAAAUUAAACAUCAAACAUAGAAAACAUUGCCAUAUAUACAUUUGCAUGCUUUAUAAGUUUUUUGUUUUCUUGUUGCAGGCAGCAUAAUCUCAGUGCUCAUGUUUCUUGCUCCAGUGUAAGUCUUUGAUCAUAUCGACCAAAUCCCAUCUCUUUUAUCUGCACUAUAUCUAAUUAAUUGCAUAUUUAAUUUAUAAAGAUAUAUUACUGCAUCACAAUUAAUUAGUUUUUAUAUAUGAAAAUUGCAUACGAGCAGUAGAACAUUUUGGAGAAUCAUAAAGCAUCGAUCGACUGAGGAAUUUCAGAGCCUCCCCUAUAUCUGCACUUUGUUAAAUUCAUCUCUGUGGACUUAUUACGGAAUCACAAGACCUGGAAGCUAUCUUGUCGCCACUGUAAAUGGCUUUGGCAUUUUAGUUGAAGCUGUUUAUGUAACCUUAUUUUUCAUAUAUGCUCCAACAAAAGCAAUGAGGG
rnacentral:lncRNA from 1 species